CAGCCGCCGCGGUAAUACGGAGGGUGCGAGCGUUAAUCGGAAUUACUGGGCGUAAAGCGUGCGUAGGCGGUUAAUUAAGUCAGAUGUGAAAGCCCCGGGCUUAACCUGGGAACGGCAUUUGAUACUGGUUAACUAGAGUUUAAUAGAGGGGAGUGGAAUUUCAGGUGUAGCGGUGAAAUGCGUAGAUAUCUGAAGGAACACCAGUGGCGAAGGCGACUCCCUGGAUUAAAACUGACGCUGAGGUACGAAAGCGUGGGUAGCAAACAGGAUUAGAUACCCUGGUAGUCCACGCCGUAAACGAUGUCAACUAGCCGUUGGUCCUAUUUACAGGAUUAGUGGCGCAGCUAACGCAUUAAGUUGACCGCCUGGGGAGUACGGCCGCAAGGUUAAAACUCAAAGGAAUUGACGG
rnacentral:rRNA from 1 species